UACAGGGGGGGCAAGCGUUGUUCGGAAUUACUGGGCGUAAAGGGUUCGUAGGUGGCCAACUAAGUCAUACGUGAAAUCCCUCAGCUUAACUGGGGAACUGCGUCUGAUACUGGAUGGCUUGAGUGCAGGAGAGGAACGCGGAAUUCCAGGUGUAGCGGUGAAAUGCGUAGAUAUCUGGAGGAACACCGGCGGCGAAGGCGGGUCUCUGGGCCAUAACUGACGCUGAGGAGCGAAAGCGUGGGGAGCGAACAGGA
rnacentral:rRNA from 1 species